AUGAAAGUGUCCCCUUCAACAAAUGGGGCUGAUGAUAGAGGUCGGUCUCUACAGUCAAGUCAUGUUUUCGGUGUGCUCAGAUAUGGGGCUUACGGCGAUGGACGCCAUGAUGAUACACAGGUAUGCAUUUUCCAAGGCGUUGGCUGCAGCUUGCUCCUCAUAAAGAAGCUCAGCAGUGUUGUCUAUGGCCUUAUCUUUGACAAGAAGGCUAGCCAUGCCGCCGGAGGGCCAUCUAGGAUUAAGAAUGCCAAGAUCACUGUCAUACAAUUUCAGAUCUCACCGCCCAAGACUGAUAUUGAGAAGAGUGUUAUUGUGUCAAACUAUGCGCAGAUGGGCCGCAUCCUCCGCGAGGAGCAUAAUUACAUCCUAGGGAUGGUUAAGAAGAUCAAGGCAUUUGGAUGCAAUGUCCUCCAAAUCCAGAAGAGCAUCUUGCGUGAUGUGGUGACUGAGUUGUCGCUGCAUUAUCUCGCAAAGGCUAAGAUUAUGGUGGUCAAGGAUGUAGAGAGGGACGAUAUUGAGUUCAUCACCAAGACUUGUAACUGCUUGCCAAUUGCCAAUAAUGAGCAUUUCCGAGAAGAAAAACUUGGGUAUGCUGAUGUUGCCAAGGAAGUGUCUGCUGGAGAUGGCAAGAUUGUCAAGAUCACUAGCAUCAGGGACAUGGGGAGGACUGCAACUGUGCUUGUCCGUGGGUCCAACCAGUUGGUUAAUGAUGAAGCUGAUCGCAGUCUCCAUGAUGUCAUGUGUGUCAUCAGGUGCUUGGUGAACAAGAGGUUUUUAAUUGCUGGUGGUGGUGCUCCUGAAAUAGAAAUGUCAAUGCAACUGGCUGCUUGGUCAAAGGAGCUCCAUGGGAUGGAGAGUUACUGCAUCAAGGAGUUUGCUGAUGCACUCAAGGUCAUCCCUCACACAUUGGCAGAGAAUGCAGGGCUCAACCCAAUUGCCAUUGUUACUGAGCUAAGGAACCGGCAUGCCAAGGGUGAGCAGAACAUGGGCAUCAACGUGAGGAAAAGGCCAAAUCAAAACAAUCCUGGAGGAGAAUGUUGUGCAGCCAUUGCUUGUGAGCACGAGUGCCAUCUCGCUGGCGUGCAAGUGCAUUAG
rnacentral:rRNA from 1 species